AUAAAUUUACAGUCCAAAUUAAAUAUGCAUUUGAGUAGACUUGAGGGCAGCUGUAACACUUCCAUAAGCCCUUAGAGAUACUUUGAGAAAUAGGAUACAGGGCUGACUGUUCCUUAGUUCUGAUCCUGUGUGAUAAUCCUUACUUUCUCAUUUAUAAGUGGACAUCCAAAGGUGAUACAGCUGGAAAAAGGAUCUUCAUCCAAGACAAAGAGAAACAAAGUCGAUAGGAAAGUGAUGAAAGGCAUCAAGCAAAGUGAAGAUGCAAAUGAGAAAACAAGAUCAGAAGACAGGAAUAUCUGAAACAAGUCACAAAUGCAUAGUAUGACCUCUCAGAAUCGUCUGGAUAAGUGUCAGCAUUCUCCAAGUCACUUUCUUGGUAUGAAAUGAACAUUUGUGGCCAGGUGCAGUGGCUCACACCUGUAAUCCCACCACUUCAGGAGGCCGAGGUGGGCGGAUCAUGAGGUCAAGAGAUCGAGACCAUCCUGGCCAACAUGGUGAA
rnacentral:lncRNA from 1 species